AUCAACGCUGGCGGCGCGCUUAACACAUGCAAGUCGCACGAGAAAGUGGAGCAAUCCAUGAGUACAGUGGCGUACGGGUGAGUAACACGUGGAUGAUCUACCUCUUAGUGGGGAAUAACCCAGGGAAACCGGGGCUAAUACCGCAUAAGCUCGAGAGAGGAAAGCAGCAAUGCGCUGAGAGAGGAGUCCGCGGCCGAUUAGCUAGUUGGCAGGGUAAGAGCCUACCAAGGCAGAGAUCGGUAGCCGGCCUGAGAGGGCACACGGCCACACUGGCACUGAAACACGGGCCAGACUCCUACGGGAGGCAGCAGUGGGGAAUCUUGCACAAUGGGGGAAACCCUGAUGCAGCGACGCCGCGUGAGCGAUGAAGCCCUUCGGGGUGUAAAGCUCCUUCGGCAGGGAAGAUGAUGACGGUACCUGCAGAAGCAGCUGCGGCUAACUACGUGCCAGCAGCCGCGGUAAUACGUAGGCAGCGAGCGUUGUUCGGAGUUACUGGGCGUAAAGGGUGUGUAGGCAGUUGUUUAAGUUUGGUGUGAAAUCUCCCGGCUCAACUGGGAGGGUGCGCCGAAUACUGAAUGACUAGAGUGCGGGAGAGGAAAGUGGAAUUCCUGGUGUAGCGGUGAAAUGCGUAGAUAUCAGGAGGAACACCGGUGGUGUAGACGGCUUUCUGGACCGUAACUGACGCUGAAACACGAAAGCGUGGGUAGCAAACAGGAUUAGAUACCCUGGUAGUCCACGCCCUAAACGAUGCAUAUUUGGUGUGGGCAGUUCAUUCUGUCCGUGCCGGAGCUAACGCGUUAAAUAUGCCGCCUGGGGAGUACAGUCGCAAGGCUGAAACUCAAAGGAAUUGACGGGGGCCCGCACAAGCGGUGGAGCAUGUGGUUCAAUUCGACGCAACGCGAAGAACCUUACCUGGGCUCGAACGGCUGGUCAACGGCGGUGGAAACACUGUUACCCCGCAAGGGGGUCCAGUCGAGGUGCUGCAUGGCUGUCGUCAGCUCGUGUCGUGAGAUGUUGGGUUAAGUCCCGCAACGAGCGCAACCCUUGUCCUGUGUUGCCAUGCCGAAAGGCGGAACUCGCAGGAGACCGCCAGCGAUAAGCUGGAGGAAGGUGGGGAUGACGUCAAGUCCUCAUGGCCCUUAUGUCCAGGGCUACACACGUGCUACAAUGGGCCGGUACAAAGAGUUGCGAUACCCGCGAGGUGGAGCUAAUCGCAUAAAACCGUUCUCAGUUCGGAUUGCAGGCUGCAACUCGACUGCAUGAAGUCGGAAUCGCUAGUAAUCGGCAGGAUCAGCAUGCCUGCGUGAAUACGUUCCCGGGCCUUGUACACACCGCCCGUCACACCACUGGGAGUCGAGUUGCUCUCGAAGUGCGGUGAGCCUAACCCUCGUGAGGCAGCCGUCCUAAGGAUGUGACUGGUAACUGGGGUG
rnacentral:rRNA from 1 species